rnacentral:rRNA from 1 species
UAGGGAAUCUUCCACAAUGGACGAAAGUCUGAUGGAGCAACGCCGCGUGAGUGAAGAAGGUUUUCGGAUCGUAAAGCUCUGUUGUUGGUGAAGAAGGAUAGAGGCAGUAACUGGUCUUUAUUUGACGGUAAUCAACCAGAAAGUCACGGCUAACUACGUGCCAGCAGCCGCGGUAAUACGUAGGUGGCAAGCGUUGUCCGGAUUUAUUGGGCGUAAAGCGAGCGCAGGCGGAAUGAUAAGUCUGAUGUGAAAGCCCACGGCUCAACCGUGGAACUGCAUCGGAAACUGUCAUUCUUGAGUGCAGAAGAGGAGAGUGGAACUCCAUGUGUAGCGGUGGAAUGCGUAGAUAUAUGGAAGAACACCAGUGGCGAAGGCGGCUCUCUGGUCUGCAACUGACGCUGAGGCUCGAAAGCAUGGGUAGCGAACAGGAUUAGAUACCCUGGUAGUCCAUGCCGUAAACGAUGAGCGCUAGGUGUUGGGG